GUGGGGCAUCCCACGGGUGUUAAAAGGAAGCGAUUCCGGCGGAGGAUGGGCAUGCGGCGCAUUAGCUAGUUGGCGGGGUAACGGCCCACCAAGGCGACGAUGCGUAGGGGUUCUGAGAGGAAGGUCCCCCACACUGGUACUGAGACACGGACCAGACUCCUACGGAAGGCAGCAG
rnacentral:rRNA from 1 species